rnacentral:rRNA from 1 species
CUUGGUCAUUUAGAGGAAGUAAAAGUCGUAACAAGGUUUCCGUAGGUGAACCUGCGGAAGGAUCAUUAGUGAACGCCCUCACGGGCUUAUAACUAUUCCAAACCUCUGUGAACCGUGCCCUUCGGGGCUAUUUUACAAACAUGGUGUAAUGAACGUCAUAUAUCAUAACAAAACAAAACUUUCAACAACGGAUCUCUUGGCUCUCGCAUCGAUGAAGAACGCAGCGAAAUGCGAUAAGUAAUGUGAAUUGCAGAAUUCAGUGAAUCAUCGAAUCUUUGAACGCACCUUGCGCCCUCUGGUAUUCCGGAGGGCAUGCCUGUUUGAGUGUCAUGUAGACUCAAUCCCUCGGGUUUCCGAGGAGAUUGGACUUGGGUGUUGCCGCUCUGCCGGCUCGCCUUAAAAGACUUAGCGGGAUAGCACCGUAGUCGGCGUAAUAAGUUUCGCCGGUGAAGGUUGUGAUGACUGCUUACAAUCGCCCUCGGGCAAUUUUUGACUCUGACCUCAAAUCAGGUAGGACUACCCGCUGAACUUAAGCAUAUCAAUAAGCGGAGGAA